rnacentral:rRNA from 1 species
CGGUGAAUACGUUCCCGGGCCUUGUACACACCGCCCGUCAAGCCAUGGAAGCUGGGGGUGCCUGAAGUGCGUAACCGCAAGAAGCGUCCUAGGGUAAAACCGGUAACUGGGGCU